rnacentral:rRNA from 1 species
CAGUGUGACCGAAUGUCCUUGUCAAAGCCUGAUCUCGUCAAGCAAAGCAGGGUUGGGCCUGGUUAGUACUUGGAUGGGAGACCACUGGGAAUACCAGGUGCCACACAAC